rnacentral:rRNA from 1 species
UACGAAGGGGGCUAGCGUUGCUCGGAAUCACUGGGCGUAAAGGGUGCGUAGGCGGGUUUCUAAGUCAGAGGUGAAAUCCUGGAGCUCAACUCCAGAACUGCCUUUGAUACUGUAAGUCUUGAGUAUGGGAGAGGUGAGUGGAACUGCGAGUGUAGAGGUGAAAUUCGUAGAUAUUCGCAAGAACACCAGUGGCGAAGGCGGCUCACUGGCCCAUUACUGACACUGAGGCACGAAGGCCAGGGGAGCAAACGGG